AAGGAUCAUUACCCUAUACCAUCGGGGGGCCGGCCCUGGAGAUUGCGGCACCCAUCAGGGAAGCCCUCUCUCCUGCCCGCCCUGUCUGAAUCUACCCAUGAUUUUUGCGUACCCAUUGUUUCCUCGGCAGGCUUGCUUGCCAGUAGGACAUUUUUCAACCUUUUGUAAUUGCAGUCAGCGUCAGAAAAACUUAAUAGUUACAACUUUCAACAACGGAUCUCUUGGUUCUG
rnacentral:misc_RNA from 1 species